AUUGAACGCUGGCGGCAUGCCUUACACAUGCAAGUCGAACGGCAGCACGGGAGCAAUCCUGGUGGCGAGUGGCGGAACGGGUGAGUAAUGUAUCGGAACGUACCUUUCAGUGGGGGAUAACGUAGCGAAAGUUACGCUAAUACCGCAUAUUCCUGUGAGCAGGAAAGCAGGGGAACGCAAGACCUUGCGCUGAUUGAGCGGCCGAUAUCAGAUUAGCUAGUUGGUGAGGUAAAGGCUCACCAAGGCGACGAUCUGUAGCGGGUCUGAGAGGAUGAUCCGCCACACUGGAACUGAGACACGGUCCAGACUCCUACGGGAGGCAGCAGUGGGGAAUUUUGGACAAUGGGCGCAAGCCUGAUCCAGCCAUGCCGCGUGAGUGAAGAAGGCCUCGG
rnacentral:rRNA from 1 species